rnacentral:rRNA from 1 species
AACGAACGCUGGCGGCAUGCCUAACACAUGCAAGUCGAACGAGACCUUCGGGUCUAUUGGCGCACGGGUUCGUAACGCGUGGGAUCCUGCCUUUAGGUUCGGCAUAACUCAGAGAAAUUUGAGCUAAUACCGGAUGAUGUCUUCGGACCAAAGAUUUAUCGACCUUAGAUGGGCCCGCGUUGGAUUAGAUAGUUGGUGGGGUAAAGGCCUACCAAGGCGACGAUCCAUAGAUGGUCUGAGAGGAUGAUCAGCCACACUGGGACUGAGACACGGCCCAGACUCCUACGGGAGGGAGCAGUGGGGAAUAUUGGAAAACGGGCGAAAGCCUGAUCCAGCAAUGCCGCGUAAGUGCUGAAGGCCGUAGGGUUGUAAAGCUCUUUUACCCGAGAUGAUAAUGACAGUAUCGGGAGAAUAAGCUCCGGCUAACUCCGUG